rnacentral:tRNA from 1 species
CAAAAAAUAGUUUAAGUAAAAAUCCUAGUUUUGGGGAUUAGGGAUGAGAGCGACUCCUCUUUUUUGA